UUCUGGUUGAUCCUGCCGGAGGUUACCGCUAUCGAGGUUCGACUAAGCCAUGCGAGUCGAAUGUAGCAAUACAUGGCGUACUGCUCAGUAACACGUGGAUAACCUACCCUUGAGACGGGGAUAAACCCGGGAAACUGGGUAUAAUACCCGAUAGAUCUCGACUGCUGGAAUGCAUCGAGCUCUAAAGCUCCGGCGCUCAAGGAUGGGUCUGCGGCCUAUCAGGUAGUAGUGGGUGUAGCGUACCUACUAGCCUACGACGGGUACGGGUUGUGAGAGCAAGAGCCCGGAGAUGGAUUCUGAGACACGAAUCCAGGCCCUACGGGGUGCAGCAGGCGCGAAAACUUUACAAUGCUGGAAACAGCGAUAAGGGGACCUCGAGUGCCAGGUUACAAAUCUGGCUGUCGUGAUGCCUAAAAAGCAUUGCAUAGCAAGGGCCGGGCAAGACCGGUGCCAGCCGCCGCGGUAACACCGGCGGCUCGGGUGGUAACCGUUAUUAUUGGGUCUAAAGGGUCUGUAGCCGGCCGGAUAAGUCUCUUGGGAAAUCUGGCAGCUUAACUGUCAGGCUUUCAGGAGAUACUGUCUGGCUCGAGGCCGGGAGAGGUGAGAGGUACUUCAGGGGUAGGGGUGAAAUCUUGUAAUCCUUGAAGGACCACCAGUGGCGAAGGCGUCUCUCCAGAACGGACCUGACGGCAAGGGACGAAAGCUAGGGGCACGAACCGGAUUAGAUACCCGGGUAGUCCUAGCCGUAAACGAUACUCGCUAGGUGUCGGCCACGGUGCGACCGUUGUCGGUGCCGUAGGGAAGCCGUGAAGCGAGCCACCUGGGAAGUACGGCCGCAAGGCUGAAACUUAAAGGAAUUGGCGGGA
rnacentral:rRNA from 1 species